rnacentral:rRNA from 1 species
UACAUGCAAGUCGAGCGGACAGAUGGGAGCUUGCUCCCUGAUGUUAGCGGCGGACGGGUGAGUAACACGUGGGUAACCUGCCUGUAAGACUGGGAUAACUCCGGGAAACCGGGGCUAAUACCGGAUGGUUGUUUGAACCGCAUGGUUCAAACAUAAAAGGUGGCUUCGGCUACCACUUACAGAUGGACCCGCGGCGCAUUAGCUAGUUGGUGAGGUAACGGCUCACCAAGGCAACGAUGCGUAGCCGACCUGAGAGGGUGAUCGGCCACACUGGGACUGAGACACGGCCCAGACUCCUACGGGAGGCAGCAGUAGGGAAUCUUCCGCAAUGGACGAAAGUCUGACGGAGCAACGCCGCGUGAGUGAUGAAGGUUUUCGGAUCGUAAAGCUCUGUUGUUAGGGAAGAACAAGUACCGUUCGAAUAGGGCGGUACCUUGACGGUACCUAACCAGAAAGCCACGGCUAACUACGUGCCAGCAGCCGCGGUAAUACGUAGGUGGCAAGCGUUGUCCGGAAUUAUUGGGCGUAAAGGGCUCGCAGGCGGUUUCUUAAGUCUGAUGUGAAAGCCCCCGGCUCAACCGGGGAGGGUCAUUGGAAACUGGGGAACUUGAGUGCAGAAGAGGAGAGUGGAAUUCCACGUGUAGCGGUGAAAUGCGUAGAGAUGUGGAGGAACACCAGUGGCGAAGGCGACUCUCUGGUCUGUAACUGACGCUGAGGAGCGAAAGCGUGGGGAGCGAACAGGAUUAGAUACCCUGGUAGUCCACGCCGUAAACGAUGAGUGCUAAGUGUUAGGGGUUUCCGCCCCUUAGUGCUGCAGCUAACGCAUUAAGCACUCCGCCUGGGGAGUACGGUCGCAAGACUGAAACUCAAAGGAAUUUGACAGAGA